rnacentral:rRNA from 1 species
UUGAACGCUGGCGGCAGGCCUAACACAUGCAAGUCGAGCGGUAGCACAGAGAGCUUGCUCUCGGGUGACGAGCGGCGGACGGGUGAGUAAUGUCUGGGAAACUGCCUGAUGGAGGGGGAUAACUACUGGAAACGGUAGCUAAUACCGCAUAAUGUCGCAAGACCAAAGUGGGGGACCUUCGGGCCUCAUGCCAUCAGAUGUGCCCAGAUGGGAUUAGCUAGUAGGUGGGGUAACGGCUCACCUAGGCGACGAUCCCUAGCUGGUCUGAGAGGAUGACCAGCCACACUGGAACUGAGACACGGUCCAGACUCCUACGGGAGGCAGCAGUGGGGAAUAUUGCACAAUGGGCGCAAGCCUGAUGCAGCCAUGCCGCGUGUGUGAAGAAGGCCUUCGGGUUGUAAAGCACUUUCAGCGGGGAGGAAGGCGUUAAGGUUAAUAACCUUGGCGAUUGACGUUACCCGCAGAAGAAGCACCGGCUAACUCCGUGCCAGCAGCCGCGGUAAUACGGAGGGUGCAAGCGUUAGUCGGAAUUACUGGGCGUAAAGCGCACGCAGGCGGUCUGUCAAGUCGGAUGUGAAAUCCCCGGGCUCAACCUGGGAACUGCAUUCGAAACUGGCAGGCUAGAGUCUUGUAGAGGGGGGUAGAAUUCCAGGUGUAGCGGUGAAAUGCGUAGAGAUCUGGAGGAAUACCGGUGGCGAAGGCGGCCCCCUGGACAAAGACUGACGCUCAGGUGCGAAAGCGUGGGGAGCAAACAGGAUUAGAUACCCUGGUAGUCCACGCCGUAAACGAUGUCGAUUUGGAGGUUGUGCCCUUGAGGCGUGGCUUCCGGAGCUAACGCGUUAAAUCGACCGCCUGGGGAGUACGGCCGCAAGGUUAAAACUCAAAUGAAUUGACGGGGGCCCGCACAAGCGGUGGAGCAUGUGGUUUAAUUCGAUGCAACGCGAAGAACCUUACCUGGUCUUGACAUCCACAGAACUUUCCAGAGAUGGAUUGGUGCCUUCGGGAACUGUGAGACAGGUGCUGCAUGGCUGUCGUCAGCUCGUGUUGUGAAAUGUUGGGUUAAGUCCCGCAACGAGCGCAACCCUUAUCCUUUGUUGCCAGCGGUCCGGCCGGGAACUCAAAGGAGACUGCCAGUGAUAAACUGGAGGAAGGUGGGGAUGACGUCAAGUCAUCAUGGCCCUUACGACCAGGGCUACACACGUGCUACAAUGGCAUAUACAAAGAGAAGCGACCUCGCGAGAGCAAGCGGACCUCAUAAAGUAUGUCGUAGUCCGGAUUGGAGUCUGCAACUCGACUCCAUGAAGUCGGAAUCGCUAGUAAUCGUAGAUCAGAAUGCUACGGUGAAUACGUUCCCGGGCCUUGUACACACCGCCCGUCACACCAUGGGAGUGGGUUGCAAAAGAAGUAGGUAGCUUAACCUUCGGGAGGGCGCUUACCACUUUGUGAUUCAUGACUGGGGUG